rnacentral:tRNA from 3 species
CGUAGCUCAAUGGCAGAGCAUUCGACUGUUAAUCGAACGGUUGUUGGUUCGAGUCCAACC